rnacentral:rRNA from 1 species
UCGAGAGUCGUAAUGGACUCGGCGCACUGCUCAGUAACACGUGGAUAACGUACCCUAAAGUGGAGCAUAAUCUCGGAAAACUGAGGAUAAUACUCCAUAGGUCACGAGAUCUGGAAAGACUUGUGGCUCAAAGUUCCGGCGCUUUAGGAUCGGUCUGCGGCCUAUCAGGUAGUAGUGGGUGUAACGGACCCACUAGCCGAUGACGGGUAUGGGCCUUGAGAGAGGGAGCCCAGAGAUGGAUUCUGAGACACGAAUCCAGGCCCUACGGGGCGCAGCAGUCGCGAAAACUUCACAAUGGAGGCAACUCCGAUGAGGGAAUUCCUAGUGCCAAUGCAUUUUGUGUUGGCUUUUCUUCAGCGUAGAUAACUGAUGGAAUAAGGGCUGGGUAAGACGGGUGCCAGCCGCCGCGGUAAUACCCGCAGCCCAAGUGGUGGUCGAUAUUAUUGAGUCUAAAACGUUCGUAGCCGGUUCAAUAAAUCUCUGGGUAAAUCGGAGGGCUUAACCUUCCGAAUUCCGGAGAGACUGUUGAACUUGGGACCGGGAGAGGCAAGAGGUACUUCUGGGGUAGGGGUAAAAUCCUGUAAUCCUAGAAGGACCACCGGUGGCGAAGGCGUCUUGCUAGAACGGAUCCGACGGUGAGGGACGAAGCCCUGGGUCGCAAACGGGAUUAGAUACCCCGGUAGUCCAGGGUGUAAACGCUGCAGACUUGGUGUUGGGAACCCUUCGGGGGUGCUCAGUGCCGGAGAGAAGUUGUUAAGUCUGCUACUUGGGGAGUACGUCCGCAAGGAUGAAACUUAAAGGAAUUGGCGGGGGAGCACCGCAACGGGAGGAGCGUGCGGU